rnacentral:rRNA from 1 species
AAUGCUUGGGAAUAUGCCUAGAGGUGGGGGACAACAGUUGGAAACGACUGCUAAUACCGCAUAAUGUCUACGGACCAAAGGAGGGGAUCUUCGGACCUUUCGCCUUUAGAUUAGCCCAAGUGAGAUUAGCUAGUUGGUGGGGUAAAGGCCUACCAAGGCGACGAUCUCUAGCUGGUUUGAGAGGAUGAUCAGCCACACUGGGACUGAGACACGGCCCAGACUCCUACGGGAGGCAGCAGUGGGGAAUAUUGCACAAUGGGGGAAACCCUGAUGCAGCCAUGCCGCGUGUGUGAAGAAGGCCUUCGGGUUGUAAAGCACUUUCAGNNGNGAGGANAGGUUAGUAGUUAAUACCUGCUAGCUGUGACGUUANCGACAGAAGAAGCACCGGCUAACUCCGUGCCAGCAGCCGCGGNAAUACGGAGGGUGCGAGCGUUNNUCGGAAUUACUGGGCGUAAAAGCGNGCGUA